UACAGAGGGUGCGAGCGUUAAUCGGAAUUACUGGGCGUAAAGGGCGCGUAGGUGGUUAUAUAAGAUUGUUGUGAAAUCCCUGGGCUUAACCUAGGAACUGCAACGAUGACUGUAUAGCUUGAGUAUUGUAGAGGGUAGUGGAAUUUCCGGUGUAGCGGUGAAAUGCGUAGAGAUCGGAAGGAACACCAGUGGCGAAGGCGGCUACCUGGACAAAUACUGACACUGAGGCGCGAGAGCGUGGGGAGCAAACAGG
rnacentral:rRNA from 1 species